CUAUGUUAAAUUGGGGUGUUAGCGGUACCUUGUAACCCACAAUCCGCUAUAGUGGGGAUGAAAACUUGAGCUGAGGGACAAAUUCGUCUUGUUUGCCUUGAUUUUGGCGGGUGUUGACGAUUACGGUCCUGCGCAAUUGAAACCUGUGAACCACGUCAGGGCAGGAAUGCAGCAGCGUUAAGCAGUUCUUUUUGAUGUGCCGCAGGGGUGCCGGGUCUGAGCCUGUCGGUUGAGUAACGGAGGUGUUUUUGUUUCAAACUCAAGCACAUAG
rnacentral:SRP_RNA from 1 species